UACGAAGGGGGCUAGCGUUGCUCGGAAUCACUGGGCGUAAAGGGUGCGUAGGCGGGUCUUUAAGUCAGGGGUGAAAUCCUGGAGCUCAACUCCAGAACUGCCUUUGAUACUGAAGAUCUUGAGUUCGGGAGAGGUGAGUGGAACUGCGAGUGUAGAGGUGAAAUUCGUAGAUAUUCGCAAGAACACCAGUGGCGAAGGCGGCUCACUGGCCCGAUACUGACGCUGAUGAGCGAAAGCCAGGGGAGCAAACGGG
rnacentral:rRNA from 1 species